GGCGCCGAGUGUCUCCGUGUCCCUCUGCCCCAGCCGGCGGCCGCGAUGGUGGAGCUUGGCCUCUCGCUCUCUCCCGCCUCUCCAGCGACUGCUCUGCCGGCCGCGGAGGUCGGAUCGAGCGGUCAUUCAUUCAUUUGUUAAUUCGUUCACUUAUUCAGGGGAGAUCAUUGAACCCCUACGGAGUACCGGGUACUGGGCCGGGCGCUGAGGACGCGGGGCUGAGCAAAAGCAGCCGAGGCCCACCUUCGUGCCCCUUAAAACCCAGCGUGCGGGGCGGCAACGAGUACUGCUUUUCUGUUUUGCACUUAAAAUUUACAUUUUGCAUCCGUACUUUUUAUUUACUGUGCACCCUUACGGCAUGCUUUACGCACCCGUACCUGCACCUCCUAGCCUUGAGUGUAGACACCAGAUCCUGAGAUGGGCGAUUUUUCGAGAAUAAUUUUUACCCUAAGUGGAUUUUCGUGCCACGCAUGGACUUGGAACUACACACACGUAGUCCAAAACGUGAAAGUCAAAAUGCAGCUUUGCCAAGUGGCAGGGAGAAAGGAGAGCUGAGAAGAUGAGGAGAGGAAGGGCGCGCUCCAGGCUUUCCAGCCCGGGUGCGGUAGACGUAGCCCUGAAGGAUGAACCCAGGCUGGUAGUAGGGCGGCGGGAGGGCGGGGGGACCUGUCAGUCAAGUCCAAAGCAGAAACGCGGCGCCGGAUCCCAGUCAGAGGCCGGCUGGAACGCUUCCCACAGGCUCCUGGCGCUCCGGUCCCCACCAGGCGACCUUGAUCCUGGCGUGCUCAGCGGAGCCAGCGCAGCGUCGGGAGCUGGAGAGACGCGGGGCGCCGGCUGAGCGCUCCUGCCCUCUGCCUCUGGGCUAGCCUCUGGCCCGGCCUCCCGGCCUCCCCCAGGGUACGCUCUCCCCCAAGAGCGAACACCAGCUUUGGGAUCGCCAGCAGCCACGUCUCUGCUUCUAGAUCUCUUUUUUUUUUCUUUGAGACUUAGUUGAUAGCUGUUUAAGGAAUUAUGUGGAGGAAAUCUCACCUCCGACCCCCGCCCCCGUUGAGCACGGCCGGCCAGGGUCGCUGGGUGGGCCAGGAGGAAAGAAAGGGGCGGGGAAGAAGCAGCAAUUUUACUUUAAAUUAAAAUGACACAAAAAUAUUUUUUCAACUCAGAUCUUUCUGAGACAUCCCCAGAAAGCGUUGCAAGCUGUGAUUACACCUAAUGUGAGAGCAUGAACUAAUUUAAGAGGUGAGAGCUGCAUAAUGAGGCUGCCUCCCGUGUAGCAGCCAAGACUGGCAGCUCUGGCGGCGCGCUGGAGGGGACCGGGAGGGGCACCCUUGUAGAACCAGUCCCUGGCGCCCUGGGAUCUUCUCAGUGCCCUGGCGCUGUGUUGUCGGUCACUCCACAGAUAUUACAGGGUGCCUCCUGAAUGCCGGGUUGCAAUCAAGAGCAAGAGAUGGGGCGAGUGAAAGAGCCUGUUUUCAGGAGCUCAGCAUCAGGAUGACGAUUACCUAGAGGGAGGUGGUGGCCAGCCUCCCCCUCUUCUCUUCAUGCUGAGGCUCUGGUGGGCAGUGCCCAAGCCUGAACUGCCAUCUGUAUGCCAGUGGUUACCCAACUUGUAUUUUCAGUCUUAGCCUCUCUCUGGUCCAGACUUGUCAUUCUAAGGGCCCUUUUUCACUGACUCACAUUGUCUCCUCCCUCCCUGCCUUCCAAACUCAGCCUUUUCCUUUUUCCCUUUCCCACUGACAACAGCUGCACGACCCCCCCGCCCCCCCACGAGGUGAAAAUUCCCAAGAACCCCAUGUCUAACCUAACUCCCUCUCUAUGUCCUGUUGCUUGAGCCAUUCUCAUUAGGCUGCCUGUUCGGAGUUCAUUAUCUCCUAAUUUUUCAUCCAGGAAUUGAUGAAGAAUCACCUACUGCCUCUCCCACACACUGUUUAUUCUUUCAUUUGAUGAUAUCUGUUAAGUGCCCUGAGAUAUGUAACCUCCACUUCCCUCCCAUAUAAGUGAGAUUUCACGUUGAUUACUUCCUUGGCUUUCCUCAUCCCUUAUCCACAUAGCAUGUGUUCAAAAUAAUGAAUAUUAAUUUAAUGUUAAUAGAUAUGUGCUUUCCUGAAUUGUGAGGAUUAAAUGAAAUCAUGUAUAUAGGGAGGAAAAUCCAUUAGAAACCUCAAAAGCAGUUAUGUUUAUUUUUGCUAUUGUCACAUUGUUAGAGUCAGAAUUCUUUUAGCUGCAAGUGACAAAACCAACUCAAACUGGCUUAAGGACUUUAUUGGUUGAUGCAAAAAGCCUCGGGUUAGGUCUUGCCAUUUAAGGUAGGGCUGGAUCCAUCAAUCCGGGUUACCAGGAUCUGUUUUCUAGUUGUGGCUUCAUUUUCAGACAAGUUGUUUCCAUAUGAUAGCCUCAUAGAAGGUACUACCAGCUUAGUCCUAGCAAGAAAAAAGAGUACUUACUCUUCAAUAUUUGCAGCAGAAGUCCCAGGUCUGUUCUUAUGAGGGCAGUUUGAGUCACUUGCUCUUCUCUGAACGUGGAGAAGGCACUGUUUAGAUGAUGGAGGUUGGAUUCAGGUGCAUCCCCUGGAAUGGGGUUUGGCAUUAGCUUCACGUGGUCUAGAAUAAAGGGGUUCUCCAAAGGAAAAUUAGGGUAGGAAUGCUGAGUAAGCAGAACAAACAGAUGUCUACUUUAGUCCUUCCCAAAGGGUGAGCUGCAAUACAUUGCAGACUAUCAGAAUGGUGAUGAACACGGAUGCAGUAGCCAAGAAAAUAGAUGUGUGUUUGUCGUGGUCUUUUUCAGUCUUCAAGAUCUCAGUUAAACAUGAAGUCAACCACUCACUAUGAUGUUAUUUGAGGUUUAGCUUUGAAGUGGAAAUGUACCACAAAUAGUAGAGCCAGAUAAAUACAAAUAAAUAAUUUUAACAGUCCAUUCUAAAAGAUUUCUUUGGUAAUAUUCUGUUGGAAUUGAUUUCUAUCUUUUCAUUUGUUAGGUUCCUGGAAAGUGAAAAUUUCAUUUCUUUGUGGACAGGUACCUAAAAUGUCUCAUUAUUCAUCAAUUAAUGAAAAACAAAUGAAAAUUUGAGAGAGAUAUUCUGAAGAAUAAAAGGAUCAAGUUGGGUCAUUUCUAAAAUCUCAGAGACCUAAUAGGAUGGGGUCUUAGAGAAACAUCUUUUGAGCCACAGACUUCUUUGUUACCAGAAGGAAAAUGAAAGAAGAAAUUUAAAUACCACUUGAAGAGAGCUGAUCGCCACCAACUGGCCUCUGGGUGGAUUUGGCCAAUGGAAGCACCUGUAGAGGGAAGAGAGUGAGGUUAGGAUAUUUCUUCCUGCUGUCUCCGUGCUUCCCUGCAGAGAGUGUGAAGAAAUGACCCUGAAAAGCCUCUGGCAGAGGAUUCUUCUUUCAGGAUGGUGUCGCCUCCUCAGCAGCCCAUCCUCCUCCCCUGGACUCAAGCUCUCAUUCCAGUAACACUCCUUCCUCCUUCUCCAUCUUCAGGGGGAGGUUUGCCAGUCGGUGCUGCCCAGUUCAUGAGUGCUGCUGCUGUCCUGCCCAAGUACCCAGCUUGCAGAGUGCCAGAGUUAGAGUCCCAGGGGUGUUCUCCACAGCUGCAUGCUUGAUCCAGGCCUAUCAGAUAUAUUCCAUUGAAAGUCCUCAUUCUCAAAUUUAAAACAAAGACUUUUUGUGUACCUCAAUAGCAAUGCACACACAGUUGGCUUCACAAACAUAUUGUACAUUUCUUUUUUUCAUAUUUAUUCAACAAAUGUAUAUUGACUACCCACCGUGUGACAGGUGUUAUUUGUUGACGGAACCAGGCAUCAUCAGCAAACAAAACUGACAAAGCUUCCUGCCCUCUGUGGAAGGCAUCUGAGGAAGAGACUGGAUUUUGUAGCAACAUGUUAUUCUCAUUAUAAACUUUAUCAUUGGAAUACUAAAGCCAAAUCAUCCCCCAUCUCCUUGAUCAGGAUACCCACUUAAUCUAGGCAGCUACACAAUUGUGAGAGCCUUUGUUUUUUUCUGCUGAAACAUCCUUAAAAAGAUACCUCACAACCCAAGAUUUGGCUUUUCUUAAAUACGAUUUUUAAUUUUUUUCAUUUCUAUCUAGAGAUUUAAUUGGAAAUGGAAAAUCAUCAAUUUUCCAAUUAAAUGUCUGUUCCAAUCAACAUUAUACCUUUUAGGUUGUCAUUGUCAUUUUUAAGUUUAAGCAACUUUAAGGAUUUUGAAUCUGGCUGCCUGUAAAUUAAAGGUGAAAGUAAUCA
rnacentral:lncRNA from 1 species